rnacentral:rRNA from 1 species
GCUUGUCUCAAAGAUUAAGCCAUGCAUGUCUAAGUAUAAACUGCUUAUACUGUGAAACUGCGAAUGGCUCAUUAAAUCAGUUAUAGUUUAUUUGAUACAUUAAAUGGAUAACUGUAGAAAAACUAGAGCUAAUACAUGCCAAGACCGCAAGGUUGUAUUUAUUAGAUAUACCAAGUAGGUGAAUCAUAAUAACUUCGCAAAUCGUGGCCACGCCGCGAUAAAUCAUUCAAGUUUCUGCCCUAUCAUGCUUUCGAUGGUAGUGUAUUGGACUACCAUGGCUCUCACGGGUAACGGGGAAUUAGGGUUCGAUUCCGGAGAAGGAGCCUGAGAAACGGCUACUACAUCUAAGGAAGGCAGCAGG